AUACGGAGGAUCCGAGCGUUAUCCGGAUCUAUUGGGUUUAAAGGGUGCGCAGGCGGCCAUUUAAGUCAGCGGUUAAAUCGUGGGGCUCAACCCCAUUCUGCCGUUGAUACUGGGUGGCUUGAUUGCGGUCGAGGUUGGCGGAAUUCGUUGUGUAGCGGUGAAAUGCAUAGAUAUGACGAAGAACACCGAUUGCGUAGGCAGCUGACCAGACCGCAAAUGACGCUCAUGCACGAAAGUGCGGGGAUCGAACAGGAUUAGAUACCCUGGUAGUCCGCACAGUAAACGAUGAAUACUUGUUUUCGGCGAUAUAAUGUCGGAGGCAAAGCGAAAGCGAUAAGUAUUCCACCUGGGGAGUACGCCGGCAACGGUGAAACUCAAAGGAAUUGACGGGG
rnacentral:rRNA from 1 species